GUCUGAGAGGACGAUCCGCCACACUGGAACUGAGACACGGUCCAGACUCCUACGGGAGGCAGCAGUGGGGAAUUUUGGACAAUGGGGGCAACCCUGAUCCAGCCAUGCCGCGUGAGUGAAGAAGGCCUUCGGGUUGUAAAGCUCUUCCAGCCGGAACGAAAUCGCGUGCCUUAAUACCGUGUGCGAAUGACGGUACCUGAAUAAGAAGCACCGGCUAACUACGUGCCAGCAGCCGCGGUAAUACGUAGGGUGCGAGCGUUAAUCGGAAUUACUGGGCGUAAAGCGUGCGCAGGCGGUUCGAUAAGAUAGGUGUGAAAUCCCCGGGCUCAACCUGGGAACUGCGUUUGUGACUGUACGACUCGAGUGUGGCAGAGGGGGGUGGAAUUCCACGUGUAGCAGUGAAAUGCGUAGAGAUGUGGAGGAACACCGAUGGCGAANGCAGCCCCCUGGGUCAAUACUGACGCUCAUGCACGAAAGC
rnacentral:rRNA from 1 species